rnacentral:rRNA from 1 species
AGUGAACGCUGGCGGUAGGCCUAACACAUGCAAGUCGAACGGCAGCACAGUAAGAGCUUGCUCUUACGGGUGGCGAGUGGCGGACGGGUGAGGAAUACAUCGGAAUCUACUUUUUCGUGGGGGAUAACGUAGGGAAACUUACGCUAAUACCGCAUACGACCUACGGGUGAAAGCAGGGGAUCUUCGGACCUUGCGCGAUUGAAUGAGCCGUGGCCGGGUUAGCUAGUUGGGUGGGUAAAGGCCCACCAAGGCGACGCUCCGUAGCUGGUCUGAGAGGAUGGUCGGCCACACUGGAACUGAGACACGGUCCAGACUCCUACGGGAGGCAGCAGUGGGGAAUAUUGGACAAUGGGCGCAAGCCUGAUCCAGCCAUACCGCGUGGGUGAAGAAGGCCUUCGGGUUGUAAAGCCCUUUUGUUGGGAAAGAAAAGCAGCAGGUUAAUACCCCGCUGUUCUGACGGUACCCAAAGAAUAAGCACCGGCUAACUUCGUG